rnacentral:rRNA from 1 species
ACGGAGGGUGCAAGCGUUAUUCGGAAUUACUGGGCGUAAAGCGCGUGUAGGCGGUCCCGCAAGUCUGAUGUGAAAGCCCCGGGCUUAACCCGGGAAGUGCAUUGGAAACUGUGGGGCUUGAGUGCUGGAGAGGGUAGUGGAAUUCCCGGUGUAGCGGUGAAAUGCGUAGAGAUCGGGAGGAACACCAGUGGCGAAGGCGACUUACUGGACUGUAACUGACGCUGAGGCGCGAAAGUGUGGGGAGCAAACAG